AGUGGGGAAUAUUGGACAAUGGGGGGAACCCUGAUCCAGCAAUGCCGCGUGUGUGAAGAAGGCCUGAGGGUUGUAAAGCACUUUCAGUGGGGAGGAGGGUUGAUUGGUUAAGAGCUGAUUGAUUGGACGUUACCCACAGAAGAAGCACCGGCUAACUCCGUGCCAGCAGCCGCGGUAAUACGGAGGGUGCGAGCGUUAAUCGGAAUUACUGGGCGUAAAGGGUGCGUAGGUGGUUGACUAAGUUAUCUGUGAAAUUCCUGGGCUUAACCUGGGCAGGUCAGAUGAUACUGGUUGACUCGAGUAAGGGAGAGGGUAGUGGAAUUUCCGGUGUAGCGGUGAAAUGCGUAGAGAUCGGAAGGAACACCAGUGGCGAAGGCGGCUACCUGGCCUAUUACUGACACUGAGGCACGAAAGCGUGGGGAGCAAA
rnacentral:rRNA from 1 species